UGGGGAAUAUUGGGCAAUGGAGGCAACUCUGGCCCAGCCAUGCCGCGUGGGUGACGAAGGUCUUCGGAUUGUAAAGCCCUUUCGGCGGGGACGAUGAUGACGGUACCCGCAGAAGAAGCCCCGGCUAACUUCGUGCCAGCAGCCGCGGUAAUACGUAGGUGGCAAGCGUUGUCCGGAUUUACUGGGCGUAAAGGGAGCGUAGGCGGACUUUUAAGUGAGAUGUGAAAUACCCGGGCUCAACCUGGGUGCUGCAUUUCAAACUGGAAGUCUAGAGUGCAGGAGAGGAGAGUGGAAUUCCUAGUGUAGCGGUGAAAUGCGUAGAGAUUAGGAAGAACACCAGUGGCGAAGGCGACUCUCUGGACUGUAACUGACGCUGAGGCUCGAAAGCGUGGGGAGCAAACA
rnacentral:rRNA from 1 species